rnacentral:lncRNA from 1 species
UGAAGAAAAUAAGCCUGGCUAUGGAAAUGCUUAUUUGUUUGGGAGGAUGUUUGUCUGGAUCAAUGAUGAGCACAAUUGUCUGAGGAUGCUGAGGGACUCAUUCCAGAUGUCAAUCUGAGGUCCAGAUGAGUGGCCCUCUAAUAGGACAAAUAAGACUCUCAGAGCCUGGCUGUAUUUGAUGAUCCUAAGUGACAACACAAUACCACUGUGAGCAUGCCUUUUAUUUCUUUUGGUGCAAGGCAUUAGCCUUCUAUCUCAUGAAGCAGUAUGAAACUUUAGAUAUACUGUAUGACCCAAAACUUGCUUCAUUUUGUUCACUUUGAAUGGAGAGUUGUACGUAGGUAUUAGUAUAUAGGAAAUAUGUUCUUAAGUAAUAAAUGAGGAAACAAAAGAAAGGUUGAAUUAAGAGGUCAAGCAACUGUGAUGAGUACUGAAAGUUUCACUAGUGUUGGCUGAAAGAAGGGAACACUGCAUACCUAUAUUAAAUAUUGACAAUGGAAUCAAUUUUAGUGUUUGUUACUUUUCACUGUAGA